UUUUAAUUCAAAAAGUGCACUCAAAGGCUUGAAAAAUGUAUAAAUAAUAUUGUCUUCGUCAUUUUUAGUUUUUUUUGCUUAUUUUCGAUAAAAUUUCGUUUAGGAACGAGCUAAUUCGAGUGAAAUCGGCAAAUUCUCAUCAAUUUCGAUCUAAUUUGUUGAUAUUUUACCGAAAUUUUUUAACUGAUAGAAGAGCUAAAACAAAAAAUGCAAAAUUAGUGUAAUUAUUUGGUGUUUUUUUUAUUGUUCUAUUGAUAUAUUUUAAAGAGUGGCGUUGAGGGUGACAGGUCCCGAGGGAGUGUCUGGCGCAUGGUGGGGGUAAAACUCCCUUCGAUCUGAUUGGAGAUUAUUUGAUGGUCACCCCCCACUCCCGGCCUACUGGCCAAUAGUUUGAAUAGUGAAAUUGAAAGUAGCCAAAGCCAACUGAACGAAAUGCGAAAUUGUUGCAAUAAAUUAUGAUUACUAUAGUAAUGUGCAGUUAUUUCAUACGCGGCCUACUUUUUUUUGAUAAGAGAGCUAAAACACGGGAAAAAUGCAAAAUUAGUGUAAUUAUUAUAGCGAUUUAAUUUUGUGAUUUUUCUGUUAUUUUGUUGAUAUCUGUGAUUUUAAUUCAAAAAACGCAUUCAAAGGCUUGAAAAAUGUAUAAAUAAUAUUGUCUUCGUCAUUUUUAGUUUUUUUUUUUGCUUAUUUUCGAUAAAAUUUCGUUUAGGAACGAGCUAAUUCGAGUGAAAUCGGCAAAUUCUCAUCAAUUUCGAUCUAAUUUGUUGAUAUUUUACCGAAAUUUUUUAACUGAUAGAAGAGCUAAAACAAAAAAUGCAAAAUUAGUGUAAUUAUUUGGUGUUUUUUUUAUUGUUCUAUUGAUAUAUUUUAAAGAGUGGCGUUGAGGGUGACAGGUCCCGAGGGAGUGUCUGGCGCAUGGUGGGGGUAAAACUCCCUUCGAUCUGAUUGGAGAUUAUUUGAAGGUCACCCCCACCCCGGCCCACUGGCCAAUAGUUUGCAUAUUGAAACUGAAAGUAGCCAAAGCAAACUGAGCGAAAUGCGAAAUUAUUGCAAUAAAUUAUGAUAACUAUAGUAAUGUGCAGUUAUUUCAUACGCGGCCUACUUGUUCUCGCAAUUAAAAAUGAUAAAACGUUGCAUCGUGAUGCUAAUCGGGAGCACCUAGUUUUUUCUCAAAUUUUUACCUGAUUUACCUAAAAUAUUCCUUUCAUAGCCUACUAACUACUCCCAUUUGAACAGUCCAUAAUUCCGAGUGAAACCAUAAUUGAGCGUAAAUCACGCAGGCGUAAAAUUAAAUAAAGACGAUUUUCAAUAUCGGACGUGCCUUUUUUCAAGCGACGAAAGUUCCGGUUUUUCCCCCACCAUGAGUGUGUGCUUUAAAGAAAUACACGGUGUUUACUUCAAAGCGGCUUAAAUUCGCGAUUUAGUUCGACGAGAUACGUGUGAAGUUGCAGUGGUGGUUAGAACAGUGAUCCCAAUUUUUCACCGUUAAGGCAAGGUCGGGCAAGGCCGACCGCAGAAGAUAUUCAAAUAAGAGCAAAAAAGAUGUCUUUUCUCAUUCCCCUGACCCUGUUCAUCCUCGCCCCCCAUGCCUACCCCAUGCCCCGCGACCCCAAAACCCUCGCCUACUUCGACUACCUCCCCGAAGACUACGACAUCACGAUGGCUGUGGAAAAUGACAUAAGCCGGACCAUCCCCAAGGGCAAACCCAUCUACAACUCGCCCAUUUAUUACAUCCGACUGCCACCACAACCAUAUGUGUACGUCCCAGGGUUGGGGUACGUGUCCCAGCCGCCGCCUCCACCGCCCCCGGUCUCGCCUUUCGUGAGCCUUCCCUUGAGUUUCGUGGCGAAUGGUAAACCAUCGACCAUUUACCAGUGGGACAGCGAUGGGUUCGAGGAACCCACACCCACGAAACGACCGGUGGACUCGAUGGUACAUAAGCUGGAUGGGCAGUUUACCUUCAAUGGGAAGCCGGAUAAAAUCUCGGUCUUGAGGGAUUCCUACAACGCGCUGUAUGGAGACGCCUUGCAGAAUUUCUACCCUUGAUUAAAUUUUGUUUUAUUUAUUUAUUUAUUGAUGUAUUUAUUGAGAAAUAAACGUUAAAUGCAAUUAUUUUAGUGAGGGGGCGGUAAAUUUCAAAAUCCAGGGGUGCCACACAGUAAAGUUACUAGAUUUUUCAAAAUGGCUAUUGGGGUUAAGAAAAAUCGCCGAUUUUUCACUGAAAUUGUGUGAUUAAUGAUUAUUUAAGGACAAAGUGAUUUUAAGUGAAAUUGUGUGGUGACACCAAAGUUGGAACCCUGGUCCAGGGUUUGUUUAAAGUUGGUUUAUUUAUUCGGGGAUUUGUCAUGAGUUUGAAAGACACGGUGGAAAAGUACUUUCACGACCACAAUAAUCCAGUAGUUAAGACGGAAUCGUUCGGUGCGAAAUUAUUUUUGUCUCCUUUGAGUGACGAUGAAGAGGGGCGAAAAAAUCGCUGUCUUUCGGGAAUAGAGACUGUUUUAAGACACACACGUGUUGAAAGAAGAGUUGCUAGAAGUGUGGCUGAAUGGCUCCCUAAUCGAAAUGUGGCCCAAGUGACCAAAGUAACCGGUUCUUUGAAAGGAGGCUUCGGUGCGCAAACGAAAGACGGGAAAAUUUUGAGCCCCGAAGAGACAUUAUUUCUCCUAGAAGCU